rnacentral:rRNA from 1 species
GAUGAACGCUGGCGGCGUGCCUAAUACAUGCAAGUCGAGCGAACAGACGAGGAGCUUGCUCCUCUGACGUUAGCGGCGGACGGGUGAGUAACACGUGGAUAACCUACCUAUAAUACUUGGAUAACUUCGGGAAACCAGAGCUACUACCGGAUAAUAUAUUGAACCGCAUGAUUCAAUAGUGAAAGACGGUUUUGCUGUCACUUAUAGAUGGAUCCGCGCCCGCUUAGCUAGUUGGUAAGGUAACGGCCUACCAACGCAACGAUGCGUAGCCGACCUGAGAGGAGGAAUCGGCCCACUGGAACUGAGACCCGGUCCCGAAUCCCAAGGGGGGCAGCAGUGGGGAAAAUUGGCCAAUGGGGGGAAGCCUGAUCCAGCCAUCCCGCGUGGGUGAAGAAGGCCUUCGGGUUGUAAAAACCUUUUUUUGGGGAAAAAAAAAAGGAGGUUAAUACCCCGCUGUUCUGACGGGACCCAAAGAAAAAGCCCCGGCUAACUUCGUG